rnacentral:lncRNA from 1 species
GCGGCUCUUCUUUUAAAUGAAGGAUGAUUCUCCUCUUCUACGUGUUGCCCUACCUCACGUGUUGGACCCAUUUUUCUUUUGCUGGAUGUUGCUCCUUCUUUUGGACAAAGCUGGACCAUGUGGCAUGCUUCCUUAAGCAAACACAAAUUGAUCAAUCUCGGUCGUGUGGCAACAGCAUCUCCAUGCUGCACCUCCCAGCUGAACUAUGAAGCUGCUUCUCCCAAUUGCUAGACGCACCUUCCAGCAC